GGGUGCAAUUAUACCAGCGUUAAUGCAUUGGAUCCCAUCAUAACUCCGCAGUUAAGCACGCUUGGGCUAGAGUAGUACUGGGAUGGGUGACCUCCCGGGGGAGGAGGGAGCCGCGACAA
rfam:Picea glauca, whole genome shotgun sequence.